CGGAUGGUGAACUUGUGGGACACUUUGGUCCACUGCUCCCGAUUUGCUGCCACUCUCUCGUACAGCUCAGUGGCCCCAGGAAAGAGUUCAGAUAGUAGCCUAAAAGGACAGAGGACAGUGGUUGCACCCCUUGGUUUGAUCUGACAGGUCACAUGAUGUCAUCAACAGGCACAGCAGCAUGGAGCGACAGGUGUCAUUGCAUCUGGACCAAGCCUCUCUUUGCUGUUCAGGGUUGUGCUGGAGGGUUGUGCAUGAUUAGAGUGGAGCAGAGCAUUUUGCUUCUCAUCACAAUCACAUCUGUUGCUUCACCGUGGCGAUUUCACAGAUGAAGAGAUACAACCGUAGACUGUGAUAUCACUAUGAGACACCCAGAGCCUGGCUCUGUGCUCUAUCCUCCAUCUAAACAUCCAUUUUUAGUCUGCAUUUUUUAAACUGCAGGUGCAGUGCUGCUCUAUCACACUCCACGUGUUUGGGAGGUUUAAUGUUUUUAU